UCUAUUUAUAUAUACACAUACAUAUAUAUGGACAUACAUACAUAAAUACAUACAUAUGUGUGUUUGUGUGUGUCAAUCGACACCUGUUGAAGUAGCCAUGCACAUCUUGCAUGCUGACUACUAUUUUGCCCAACUCUAACUGGUGCCACAAAUUUGGAUGGCUUGCUAGUUUUGCAAGCAACCAAGUGCUGCCUGUUAUAGUUACUCCAUG
rnacentral:lncRNA from 1 species